AGUGGCGCACGGGUGAGUAACGCGUAGGUAACCUGCCAUGAGGUUCGGGAUAGCCGUACGAAAGUAUGAUUAAUACCGGAUGUGCUCUUUUGAGUAAAGAUUUAUCGCCUUAUGAUGGGCCUGCGUUAGAUUAGCUUGUUGGUAAGGUAACGGCUUACCAAGGCAACGAUCUAUAGCCGGGUUGAGAGACCGGCCGGCCACAUUGGAACUGAGACACGGUCCAGACUCCUACGGGAGGCAGCAGCUAAGAAUCUUCCGCAAUGGACGAAAGUCUGACGGAGCGACGCCGCGUGAAUGAUGAAGGCCUUAUGGGUUGUAAAAUUCUUUUAUAGAGGACGAAUGUAUGGCGUAGGCCAUGUUGACGGUACUCUAUGAAUAAGGUCCGGCUAACUACGUGCCAGCAGCCGCGGUAGUACGUAGGGACCGAGCGUUGUUCGGAAUUAUUGGGCGUAAAGGGUACGUAGGCGGUCUAAUAAGUCAGAUGUGAAAACCUCGGGCUCAACCUGAGGCCUGCGUCUGAUACUGUUAGGCUAGAGUUAUGGAGAGGAAGGCGGAAUUCCUGGUGUAGGGGUGAAAUCUAUAGAUAUCAGGAAGAACAUCGGUAGCGAAGGCUGCCUUCUGGACAUAAACUGACGCUGAUGUACGAAAGUUAGGGUAGCAAACAGGAUUAGAGACCCUGGUAGUCCUAACUGUAAACGUUGUAUACUAGGUGGUGGCAUUUUGAUCGUGUCACUGCCGUAGCUAACGCAUUAAGUAUACCGCCCGGGGAGUAUGCCGGCAACGGUGAAACUCAAAGGAAUUGACGGGGGCCCGCACAAGCAGUGGAGCAUGUUGUUUAAUUCGAUGAUACGCGAGGAACCUUACCAGGUCUUGACCUUAUACCUGAAUGUUGUAGAAAUACAUCAGCCUUCGGGCAGGUAUACAGGUGCUGCAUGGUUGUCGUCAGCUCGUGCCGUGAGGUGUUGGGUUAAGUCCCGCAACGAGCGCAACCCUUAUUCUUUGUUGCUAACAGUUCGGCUGAGCACUCUAAGGAGACUGAAGAUGACAAACCGGAGGAAGGUGGGGAUGACGUCAAAUCAUCACGGCCAUUAUGACCUGGGCUACAAACGUGCUACAAUGGGCGGCACAAAGAGUUGCGAUACCGCGAGGGUGAGCUAAUCUCAAAAAACCGUCCUCAGUUCGGAUUGGAGUCUGAACUCGACUCCAUGAAGCUGGAAUUGCUAGUAAUCGCAUAUCAGCCAUGACGCGCUGAAUACGUUCCCGGGCAUUGUACACACCGCCCGUCACAUCACCCGAAUUGAUUAUACCCGA
rnacentral:rRNA from 1 species